rnacentral:rRNA from 1 species
GACGAACGCUGGCGGCGUGCUUAGCACAUGCAAGUCGAGCGGUAAGGCCCUUUCGGGGGUACACGAGCGGCGAACGGGUGAGUAACACGUGGGUGACCUGCCCUCAGCUCUGGGAUAAGCCUGGGAAACUGGGUCUAAUACUGGAUAUAACUCCACGGUGCAUGUCGUGGGGUGGAAAGCCUUGUGCGGCUGAGGAUGGGCCCGCGGCCUAUCAGCUUGUUGGUGGGGUGAUGGCCUACCAAGGCGACGACGGGUAGCCGGCCUGAGAGGGCGACCGGCCACACUGGGACUGAGACACGGCCCAGACUCCUACGGGAGGCAGCAGUGGGGAAUCUUGCGCAAUGGGCGAAAGCCUGACGCAGCGACGCCGCGUGAGGGAUGACGGCCUGGUGUAAC